rnacentral:snoRNA from 1 species
GGUCUCCUGGUGCUUACCACAGGCUACGUUCUUACACUGACUGUAUAGGAGGAGGCAGAGUAAACCUCCCCAACUUGCACCCCGGCCCUGUGCCUGGUCUGUAUUGUGAAUGGGGGGACGUGG